rnacentral:lncRNA from 1 species
CAACACCACCAACCGCACCAGCUCAUCAUCUUUUUUGGUCUUUGCUUUCAUUUUCUUGCAUAUAAAACCUGCAGAAACAGGGAAGAAGAAGUGCAGAAAACCAGAAGAAAGAGAGAGGACCGAAGAUUGUAGAGGAGGAAACUCAGAAGAAGAACGCCAACAGAGAAUAAAGGGGGGAAAGCUGAAGCGGACGGCAGCACUGAUCGACCAGCCAGCAAGCCUUCGCCACCGUUAUCCGUUCGUUCCCAGGUCUGUUCUCUUCACCUCCCGCACCGUGAGCAUUCUUUGCUUUGUGUUUGCACUGUUCAAGUGAAAUUUAAUUCACUUGAACAGUAACGUGGUC